rnacentral:rRNA from 1 species
AUACCUACGGGACGCAGCAGUGAGGAAUAUUGGUCAAUGGUCGGGAGACUGAACCAGCCAAGCCGCGUGAGGGAUGAAGGUACAGAGUAUCGUAAACCUCUUUUGUCAGGGAACAAAGGCGGGGACGCGUCCCCGGAUGAGUGUACCUGAAGAAAAAGCAUCGGCUAACUCCGUGCCAGCAGCCGCGGUAAUACGGAGGGCGCGAGCGUUAAUCGGAAUUACUGGGCGUAAAGCGCGCGUAGGCUGUUGUGUAAGUUGGGGGUGAAAUCCCACGGCUCACCCGUGGAACAGCC